CUCGUUCAAGCUUUGGGCAUGUAGUUGCUCAAGCUUUUAGCCCCCUCAUUUCUCUCUACUAGAUAAGCAAGUUGGGGUUUUAUUUCUUGUCCAUUUUGUCCAUCCUUUGUUGUGAACAAGCUUUCUCAGGUCAUAUAGAAGAAAACAACCAUCAAAGUGAACUCCUAAGCAAAUGCCACAGUCAAUUAGCAUUCACCAUCAAUGAUUUUGCUCCUCCUUGCAAAAUCUUGGUAUUAGCUUUGCAUAAGGUGAGUACAAUCUUCACAAUAAAUGCUAAAUUAAUACCUGAUUGCCACAUUUCUUGUCUUUUAAAGAAAUGCUUAUCUUCAUCAAAUUCCAAUGUAAUCUCAACAGCUUCAUAGGCAGCUUCAUUAUAAUAGAUGGCUCCAACAAUUGCAUGUAAACAGAUAAAAGUUAAACACUAAGUUCUACAUGGUAUUUGAGAAAUGUGAAUUGUGAUCCAUCUUAUAUUUCACUCUCAUCACCAUCAAAAUUUUCACUCUCUAUAAUGACAUUAUGAUUGUCCCUCUGAAACCCAUUAAGAUUUCUCAUAUCAACAAUGAUAUCAUAGCUUAUUCCUCAGAAAUCCAAUAAUAUCUCUCUCAAAUCUGGCCAUAAAAUAAACAACAAAGCAAUAAAACAUGUAUUUGAAACAUAUAAAAGUAC
rnacentral:lncRNA from 1 species